CGGCACCGCGGGAAGUUUGAAUUCGCAGAAGGAGGAGAAGAAGAAAACAGCAGCGAUGGCCUCCGUUGUUAAAUUUAACGCAUUCUCAAGCGUCUAUCAAAGGUUUUCUGAACCCGAGACUAUUUUCUGCAAUUCUCCAGCUGUGGUCCUUGGAGAGUCUUCAGCCACUCAAACUCUCCUUCUCACUGUGCAUUAGGGCGAUAUAGACACACGUCCUCUUCCAGAGAGCACUGUUUCUUCACUGCCUGUGCCCUUGCUGUCAUCAUUUCCUGGUACCCGAACAGAUCCUCAGUCAGAUACAGGAACUACGUGUAUGUCACCUCUGCCUAUGCUGGCCUCGCCUGCGACCCGUACCCGACCUGUGAAGACUGCUGGCAGGGUGUUUGUACUGGACCACAAAUGCCGAGCCCAUUGACAACUUGCUUAAUAAACACCAUAGGAAGAAAAAUUCCUCUACUGAUCCAAACAGCACGCUCCAUCCGACCACAAAACUACAGGUCACAGUAUGUCAAGCACCGGGCCAAACAGCUGAUCACCAGUUCAUCAUUAAACAACUCCAGAGAAGCAUCUUUAAAGCAUGUAGUAAAACACCCAGAGCGCCUGUGGUUACAGUGAAGCCUGUGGAUGUAAACCCCGCAGCACCUGCUCUGACCACACUCCUAACUCACGAGACCAUUGAGAGAAUUGUAUUAUGGAAAGGCAGCCGAGAAAGAAACAAACAAAGACUUGUCUUGCUCGUGGACAGCCAAAGAUGUUUCCUCUAUCCACUUUUUUGUAAUCAGCAAGGCCCUGUCAGGUUCUUCUACUGUUACACAAAGGUUUUUAAUGCUUACAGUGAUUAAGGACUAGCAAACCCCAGAAUGCCAUUCCAAGACUUUAUGGAAAUGGAGCUCUGUAAGAGUGAAUUCGAGGAUACAAAGAAACGGGUGGAAGAGAGAGGACAGCAAAAACUUAAAAAAAAGGCCUGAAGCUGAACAUGUCGGUCACUUGUGCAGAUUUUGUGAAAUGGAACUGAAGCAGGGCCCAAACAGUCCUCACGUACACACAGGCUUUCCUGUGAAAUAUGUUCAGUGCCCUGCUAAAGUCUUUUCCAUUUACCAACAUCAGGGCACUGAGAAAGAGAUGACCUGGAAAGAGUCUAAAGAGUCUGCAUUUUACAAGAAAAAAAGGGCAGAAAAAAAAGAAAUAAAUGAUUAUUUUACCCCUUAGUAAUAUUUAACUGUAUAUACUGUACAUUUUUAUUUUUCAGUGUGAGAUUGUAAUAUCUAUAUAUAUUUUCAGAAUUCUAUUUUUCUUUCUAUUUUAUUACUUUGGAUUGAUCUUAAAAAGUGCUUAAAGCAUUUAAUAAAAAUACAACUGAU
ensembl:lncRNA